AGCCUGAGGGGGGCGGCGGCGGGCGAGAGUGCGGCUGGAGGCUGUCCUUGUUCGAGUCCAAAUGUCUGUAAUUAACCCUAUGGAGCUGUGUAAACAACUCUAUUUUCGGCUUCUUCUUAUGACUGUAAUGCUAAAGGGAAGGACAUAUGUGUAUAUAUACAUCUGUGCCUAGAAAAAGAAGAGGAGAUUAAAUAUUGGGUAAGAACCUGUGCAAAACAGAUUCCAGGAGCGAGCAGGUGGCAACAUCAAGGGCAGUUCUCCAUCAUCAAGUCGUUGUGUUUCACAUUUAGUGCUAGAAAGACACUGGCAAUAGACUUCUUGAGAUAACUGGAAGAAGAAGAAGAAUAAAAGAAUAAGAAGCGCAGCACUUUUCAGGUGCGGUGAUUUCUGAAUUUUCCUCUGAAUAUAGUGUCACAGUUAUGAGUGGAAGAGACACCAGUGUGACCACAGGAAGCUUAUGGGGGGAAAAAAACAACCAAACCAGCCAGUGGAGCAGCAACAAAUGAGAUGGAUUCACUGCGACCACGGCAAAUGUGGCCAUUGGGAAACAAGGAAGGACAAAGAAGAAGAUACGUUGCGUUUGUACAGUAUGAAAAAGAAAACGUCACCAAGUAGCUAGAAAUUCUCCAUACAUGAUCUAGUCACUGAGUCAAAACUGUUAAACCUGCGAGAUUUAAGUUAGGCAUCCAAAUAAUCUUUAGGUACCUGAAGAAAAGCUGGAUUGAUCUUUUUCUAUUUAAGUUGUGAAAAAUUUGAUGCUCUGCAAGCGGAGAUACAUCAAAGACUAUUACAAUGCAUGUGACAAUCAUAAUAGGUCCAUGUGAUAUUUGUGUACUAGGCUAUCGGUAAGAAUUUACGUAUAUAAUAAUCUCGUGUGCUGACUUGAUGGGUCAGUUCCCCAUGGGAUCACCCGGAGGUUAUUGUUGUAAAUCCCCAGUGCAGAGGUUGAGAUAAUAAUACUUUCCAAGUUUAGCAUGCUUAUAAUCCACAUGUAGUUCAAUAUGUUUUAUCUGUUAUUUUUUUUUUCCUGAAUAUACAAAUGCACUUAAAAUAUUUACUGGAAGCUAGCUCAUCACUGAUUAAUUUUUAUUGUCUUUAAACUAGCUGAAUAAUAGAUGCUGAACGUAACACAUAUUUUUUAAGGUAAUUGCAAUGAAUUGUGAAAUAAAUGCAGUUUUAAAUAUCUGUUUUAUUAUAGAAGAAGAACUGUGGCUGUCUCUUUAGUCGCCCUGUUUAAGAGGAAUAACAGCAAUAGACUUAAGAUUGAGGAUUGUCCCUUGAGACGGUCGCAAAUAGAACCAAGGGAAUAAUUAAUCCUACUGCACUAGCACACUAAUUAGCAUCGUUUGAAUUGAUAGGACUUGUAGGUUCUCAGUACCUUUGAAAAUCUGUUUUUAUUGAGGUGUAUUUUAGCCUGUUUUUCCCACUUUAUGUAGCUGUCAUUCUCAAUAUAUUUUAGAUCAUAAUAGGAGGCAUCUAAGGCUGAAAUCCCAGUAAAAAGUCUAUAUAUCAUCUCAUACAUAUUGUCAAAAUUAAGAUAAAAAGGACUACAAAAAAUUCCAAUUGGCCUCAUUUUUCUCAGGUUUUCCAAGUUUUUGCAUCAAAUAGGUAAAUUGAAGUUAUGGAAGCAUCUAAUCUACUAAAGAAAGCACAAUAAUUCCGUAACUACAGUACUCUUUACAGCAUUUGGUUAAACUUUGGGAUUAGUUUUAGACAUCCUAAAAUUCUCCCUGUUUAUGGGCAGCUAUGUUCUUAAAUGUGUGCGUGCUAUAUAAAAGUUUGGAGACAGCUAAUAGUUAUUGUUGAUAUAUCAGCUGAUAUAUCAUUGUUGAUAUACCACCUAGAAGUGGUAAAACUGACCUGGGAACCCGAACAAAUUGUUUGUUUGGUUUGGUUUUCUUUCCGGAGAUUGAUACAAAGUUACCAGGUUAACUAUAUUGAUACAUUUCUUCCUAAAUACAAAUUCUCCCCUGCACAUUGGCUGAUCAUUUACAAAAUAUUUACAAGAGGUUUCCUAAUCCACUGCAGGAAUAAAAAUGAACUACAGACCAUAACUUACAAACCAGCUAAAACCUUCUAACCAGAUCUGCAGUGAUCUAUCAGCAUUCCUAUCCAGCUUUGUUUGUGCACAUUUCCUAUUUUUGUUGGGUUAAGAGCAGUGUUUUUUCUGUGUUUGAACAGCACAGUUGGGUCUUGAUCCAUAAUGUGGAUCAAUACAAUUUUAAGAGAAAUACACAUUGUUCACUGAAUAUGCUACCUUAUAUUUUUUUCAAUACUUCUGGUCUAUUUUUCAGUAGUCCUCUGGUUGUCAUAUUUAUUUUAACAGUGUGCUAAUACUUCUUCUCUUUGGUAUUGUUAUCCAUACAUAUUCCUGAUUUUAAGAGAAAUACACAAGAUAUGUUUCAAGAUAUGGAAGGCUGAGGUAUAUUAGUUUUCUGCCUGCUUGGCAGAUUCCAGAGGCUUUUCACCAUCUUCUUCCAUGUUGCUGGUUUUGUUCCCUUUCCUGCUUACCAGUCAUAGGGAUCAUAACCAAUAUAUCCAAUUCACAAAAGGCUCCAUUAUACUAGAAAAUAAACUGCCAAGUGUUCUCCUAUGGAUUGGUGAUAGAACUUGGUCCAUCCCUCCAUACUUUAAUGCACUUGAACGAGGAGUUUUUUGUUGUGACCCCAUUCUAAUGACUUACCCUAUGUCAUCCACCCACCAUUCUUGAAUCAUCAUUUUACUGAGCGCUGAUGGAUCCCGUACUUUACAAUCCUGGUGCCAGCCCCUCUUUUACUGAAUCAUACAGACUAUUCUUAUAUAUAUAUAUAUAUAUAUACACACACAUAUAUAUAUCUAUAUAUGUAUUUUUUUUCAGGACCACUUACUGAGAUGUGCUGCUCACAGAGUAUUAUAUGUGAUACUUUCAUUACAGGUGAUAUGUCACAGGUAUGGCUUCCCAAUGAUGCAUGUAAAAGAAAAGGGAGCUGGUAAUUAUCUACUCAUUGCUUAUAUCAUAAGUUUCAUCCUGUAGCAAUAACAAAUUGGCCAGUGUCACUGUCCUUGUUGGAAAAAAUAGUCCUGGGUUAUAUGAUGAUGAGCAGCCCUGGGUCAUAACUGGAAUUUGGUGUAUAAGAAGGUGGAUGGUGUUAUAUUGAUUAAGACUACACAUUUAACCAGGUGGUUCUUGAGCCAAUAGAGCUAAUUAACACUACAUGUGCAUGAUCUGACAAUGAGUUUUGGAACAUUAUUAUAUGAUUGCUUCCUUACUGUUUUUCAUGUUAUUUUACUAUUUAGGUUACAAGUAGGUACGUUCUUCUGCUGUAGCAAAAGUACAGUGGUAUAUGCGUUAAGCAUCUUAAUGAGAAUAGUGAGAUCAUAAAAUACUGUUAAUUCACGUAAGAACUGGGAACAAACACACGGCAAAGGUAUGAACAAUGCGUUGUGUAAGGUACUUUUUGACCAUCAUGUAAACUCUGCAAGUUUUCAUGAACUAGUACACUCACUUGGGCCGUGUCAACCUAGAAAUUGCUGCUCUGACAUAGUGAGAUUCAAUCUUUUCAUUGGAGAACAUUCCUUAAAAUGUUUAAUAUGAGCAAUAUAAUAUGCUGAUGAGCACUAGAACAACAGUUACUAUGCUGCUGUGGUGUUACAUAGAGUAAAAAGAUCUCUUUGAAGCUGUGUUUCAGAAUUUUUGAGAGAGAAACAAAAAUUUUACCUGUAUCUCAAACUUCAAUGUUUCAGUGGCCUACUUGGUGUUACAAAGCUGAUUUUCCCAUUUUGUUUUUCAUAAAAAUACCAAUAGUAAUGGUCAUGCUAGGUGAGUUAAAGAGCACUUUUCACAUAUGCUUUAUGCAUUUUAGAUAUGAUUUUAUUAACAUUUCAACCUAACUUUGGGUAAUCACUCAUUUAUUUACUAAAAUAGCGUUAUGUGAUAUUGAUGCAGUAGUAGCCCUUACAAGGGCUUGUAAGAACCUUGUGGAAUGAGACGUGGUAUCAGCUGGGAAGCUGUUGCUAGACCAAUGUAUAUCAGUAACACAAUAAAUAAGUGAUUCCAGACAAGGUAGAAGACAUUUUUAAGUCUUGAGCUUUGCCCUUGCAUUUCCUCUAUCAUUUGUCUUGAAUUAUUUUCAGCAUUGUUUGCCAUGGUGCAUAAACACUAUUGUCAGCAUGGGCUGAUACUCUCUGAGGCGUCACUUUGUUAGAGAUACUUUAUCUGGCUUCCUGACAGUUCCCUGAUUGUUAAGGCUUAGAAAAAAUAAAACAUUUAACUAUAAA